rnacentral:rRNA from 1 species
AUUGAACGCUGGCGGCAGGCCUAACACAUGCAAGUCGAACGAGUGGCGGACGGGUGAGUAAUGUCUGGGAAACUGCCUGAUGGAGGGGGAUAACUACUGGAAACGGUAGAUAAUACCGCAUACCAUCAGAUGUGCCCAGAUGGGAUUGGUUUGUGGGUGGGGGAACGGCUCACCAAGGCGACGAUCCCUAGCUGGUCUGAGAGGAUGACAAGCCAAACGUGGAAUGAGACAAGGUCCAGACUCCUACGGGAGGCAGCAGGGGGGAAUAUUGGACAAUUGGCGCAAUCCUGAUGCAGCCAUGCCGCGUUUGUGAAAAAGGCCUUCGGGUUGUAAAGUACUUUCAGCGGGGAGGCGUUACCCGCAGAAGAAGCACCGGCUAACUCCGUGCCAGCAGCCGCGGUAAUAC